rnacentral:lncRNA from 1 species
CAGGUUUUGUCCUGUUAUGCUCAAAUUCGGGAUCCUCAAGAGACCACCAGAGACCAAGAUGGAUGUAAGCAGCAAAGAAGUGUUUAUUGCAAGCUAGCUCGGUCCUCCACGCGCACACAGCAACAGGUGACGCCGAGAGGCCCCGAGCCCAGGGUUUGUAGCAGUUUUAUACACUGUUUGGGGAAGGCAGGGACUUCACAUACAUCAUAGCAUCUCUUAGCAAAUCAUCACACACCGUGGGAAAAUCAUAAAACAACUCUAAAACAUGAUUAGCACAUUCACUGGCGGGAACAAGUUGGGCAGGGGUGAUUGGUUACUACAAGAGGGGGAUUCAUUUGAACUGAUUGGUUUAAGCCAUGAGGGGAGUAUGAGCUGAACUACAUGGUUUCCCAACAUAUUAUCAACCACCAUAAACUACUGGGAGCAUCAUCCCGGUAUUUUCUCUGUCUCAUGCUUAUUGGUGGUUGCUAGGGAGUUGCUAUGGGUCCCCACCUAGCCUGACUGAGUCAGGGACACCUGCUGCUCAGAUCUCUCCCCUUAUUUACAGACAACUCAGCAGGGUGGCUCUCUGCCCAGGAGUGCUCUGUGGGUCUUUCCAUGGACAAGGGUCACAUCCCCUUCCUUGGACAGGCUUUGCUCUGAGGUAGAGGCUGGUUUUUCAGUCCCUCUCCUCUCUGAGAGGAUCCUUUUUUUUUCCCCCCCUUGAAAGUAUCCCCUUUUCUCCUUUCUCAGAAAGGGGAACUCAUGCCUGUUACUCUGAGCAACAUGUCCCAAGAAUCAGGCUUUGGAGGAUGGGUCUUUGUGCUACCUCAGUUUCCCAGAAGCCCCCCGUCCUGUAACAGGAUAAAGAAGUUGUAAAAGAAUUUAGAUGAUCUAGUCCAACCUCUACAUCUUAUAAUUGAAGAAACUUAAGAAAAACAAGAUAAAU